rnacentral:rRNA from 1 species
CCUACGGGUGGCAGCAGUGGGGAAUAUUGGGCAAUGGGCGCAAGCCUGACCCAGCAACGCCGCGUGAAGGAAGAAGGCUUUCGGGUUGUAAACUUCUUUUUUCAGGGACGUAGCAAGUGACGGUACCUGAGGAAUAAGCCACGGCUAACUACGUGCCAGCAGCCGCGGUAAUACGUAGGUGGCAAGCGUUAUCCGGAUUUACUGGGUGUAAAGGGCGUGUAGGCGGGGACGCAAGUCAGAUGUGAAAACCAGGGGCUCAACCGGUGGCUUGCAUUUGAAACUGUGUUUCUUGAGGACAGGAGAGGGAGGCGAAUUUCGUGGUGUAGCGGUGAAAUGCUUAGAUAUAAGGAGGAACCC